rnacentral:rRNA from 1 species
CACGUAGGGCGCAAGCGUUGUCCGGAAUUAUUGGGCGUAAAGAGCUCGUAGGCGGUCUGUUGCGUCCGCUGUGAAAACCCGGGGCUUAACCCUGGGCUGGCAGUGGAUACGGACAGACUAGAGGUAGGUAGGGGAGAAUGGAAUUCCCGGUGUAGCGGUGAAAUGCGCAGAUAUUAGGAAGAACACCGGUGGCGAAGGCGGCUCUCUGGAACGGUACUGACGCUGAGACGCGAAAGCGUGGGGAGCAAACAGG